rnacentral:tRNA from 1 species
GAGGGUAUAGCUCAAGUAGUGGAGCAUAUGCUUAGCAUGCACAAGGUCUUGGGUUCAACUCCCAGUAUCUCCU